GACGAACGCUGGCGGCGUGCUUAACACAUGCAAGUCGAACGGAAAGGCCCUGCUUUUGUGGGGUGCUCGAGUGGCGAACGGGUGAGUAACACGUGAGUAACCUGCCCUUGACUCUGGGAUAACUUCAGGAAACUGGGGCUAAUACCGGAUAGGAGCUCCUGCUGCAUGGUGGGGGUUGGAAAGUUUCGGCGGUUGGGGAUGGACUCGCGGCUUAUCAGCUUGUUGGUGGGGUAGUGGCUUACCAAGGCUUUGACGGGUAGCCGGCCUGAGAGGGUGACCGGCCACAUUGGGACUGCAAUCAGGCCCAGACUCCUACGGAGGGCAGCAAUGGGGAAUUUUACGCAAUGGGCGGGAGCCUGAUGCAGCAACGCCGCGUGCGGGAUGACGGCCUUCCGGUUGUAAACCGCUUCCGCCUGUGACGAAGCGUGAGUGACGGUACUGGGUAAAGAAGCACCGGCUAACUACGUG
rnacentral:rRNA from 1 species